rnacentral:rRNA from 1 species
UACGGAGGAUCCAAGCGUUAUCCGGAAUCAUUGGGUUUAAAGGGUCCGUAGGCGGUUUAGUAAGUCAGUGGUGAAAGCCCAUCGCUCAACGGUGGAACGGCCAUUGAUACUGCUAGACUUGAAUUAUUAAGAGGUAACUAGAAUAUGUAGUGUAGCGGUGAAAUGCUUAGAGAUUACGUGGAAUACCAAUUGCGAAGGCAGGUUACU